GACGAACGCUGGCGGCGUGCCUAAUACAUGCAAGUCGAACGCAGUGGGGAUGGGUGAGUAACACGUGGGUAACCUCCCAUCAGAGGGGAUAACACUUGGAAACAGGUGCUAAACCGAUACUGAUUGAUGGACCCGGGGGGCAUUCGCUAGUUGGUGGGGUAACGGCUCACCAAGGCCACGAUGCAUAGCCGGCCUGAGAGGGUGAUCGGCCACACUGGAACUGAGACACGGCCCAGACGCCUACGGGAGGCAGCAGUAGGGAAUAUUGGGCAAUGGGCGAAAGCCUGACCGAGCAACGCCGCGUGAGUGAAGAAGGUUUUCGGAUCGUAAAGCUCUGUUGUUAGAGAAGCGGUAUUUAAAGAGAAAGCCACGGCUAACUACGUGCCAGCAGCCGCGGUAAUAC
rnacentral:rRNA from 1 species